rnacentral:RNase_P_RNA from 1 species
CCAGAUAGAUGACUAGUCGCUUUUAUAUGUAUUUAUGAAAGAGGAAAGUCCGGGCUCUACAAAGACACGGUGCCAGAUAACCUCUGGCGAGGGCGACCUCAGGGAUAGUGCCACAGAAAAUAUACCGCCUUAUCAAGGCAAGGGUGAAAAGGUGUGGUAAGAGCACACCGGUUUUUUGGUAACAAAGAACGCAUGGAAAACCCCACCGAGAGCAAGACCAAAUAGAGAUGGCGAUGUUUUAUAUUAAAACAAUAAUCGUCUUUGGUUAGCCAUCAGGGUUGGUUGCUUGAGCUAAAGGGAGACUUUUAGCCUAGAUAAAUGACUUGUUUAAAUGACAAAACCCGGCUUACAGUUUAUCUGGCAAA